ACAGAUAUAAGUUAAACAUUAACUAUUGGUCUUCAAAACCAAAAAUUUUAAUCUGUA
rnacentral:tRNA from 1 species